rnacentral:rRNA from 1 species
AGCGAACGCUGGCGGCGUGCCUAACACAUGCAAGUCGAACGUGAAAGGGAGCAAUCCCAAGUAAAGUGGCGUACGGGUGAGUAACACGUAGGUAAUCUACCCCAGAAUCUGGAAUAACCGGCCGAAAGGCUGGCUAAUACUGGAUAGAGCGACGGAAUCCGUAAUUGGGUUUUUCGGGAAAGGGAGCCUGUAAAAAGGCCUUCGUUCUGGGAUGAGCCUGCGUCCCAUCAGCUAGUUGGUGAGGUAAAAGCUUACCAAGGCAAUGACGGGUAGCUGGUCUGAGAGGACGAUCAGCCACACUGGAACUGAAACACGGUCCAGACUCCUACGGGAGGCAGCAGUGGGGAAUCUUGCGCAAUGGACGAAAGUCUGACGCAGCAACGCCGCGUGAGUGAAGAAGGCCUUCGGGUUGUAAAGCCCUGUCGAGUGGGACGAAAAUGCUUGGAGUUCACAGCUCCAGGAACUGACGGUACCACUAAAGGAAGCACCGGCUAACUCCGUG